rnacentral:rRNA from 1 species
GUUGGUGAACCAGCGGAGGGAUCAUUACCGAGUUUACAACUCCCAAACCCCUGUGAACAUACCAAUUGUUGCCUCGGCGGAUCAGCCCGCUCCCGGUAAAACGGGACGGCCCGCCAGAGGACCCCUAAACUCUGUUUCUAUAUGUAACUUCUGAGUAAAACCAUAAAUAAAUCAAAACUUUCAACAACGGAUCUCUUGGUUCUGGCAUCGAUGAAGAACGCAGCAAAAUGCGAUAAGUAAUGUGAAUUGCAGAAUUCAGUGAAUCAUCGAAUCUUUGAACGCACAUUGCGCCCGCCAGUAUUCUGGCGGGCAUGCCUGUUCGAGCGUCAUUUCAACCCUCAAGCCCUCGGGUUUGGUGUUGGGGAUCGGCGAGCCCUUGCGGCAAGCCGGCCCCGAAAUCUAGUGGCGGUCUCGCUGCAGCUUCCAUUGCGUAGUAGUAAAACCCUCGCAACUGGUACGCGGCGCGGCCAAGCCGUUAAACCCCCAACUUCUGAAUGUUGACCUCGGAUCAGGUAGGAAUACCCGCUGAACUUAAGCAUAUC